GAGGGUAUAGCUCUGGUAGAGCGCAUGUUUAGCAUGCACAAAGUCCUGGAUUCAAUCCUCAGUACCUUCG
rnacentral:tRNA from 1 species